GCGCACAUGGUGAAAUUGGUAGACACGCCAUCUUGAGGGGGUGGUGCCGCAAGGUAUGGGAGUUCGAGUCUCCCUGUGCGCA
rnacentral:tRNA from 1 species